AGAGUUUGAUUAUGGCUCAGGAUGAACGCUGGCGGCGUGCCUAACACAUGCAAGUCGAACGGAGUUGUUCUACCCGACAGAUCAUCUUCGGAUGAGAAGUCACCAGAAACGCUUAGUGGCGGACGGGUGAGUAACGCGUGGGCAACCUGCCCUGCACUGGGGGAUAGCGGUUGGAAACGACCGGUAAUACCGCAUACCUUACAUUUGCCGCAUGACAGAUGUAAGAAAAUGAUUUAGUGGUGCAGGAUGGGCCCGCGUCCGAUUAGUUAGUUGGUGGGGUAACGGCCUACCAAGACGACGAUCGGUAGCCGACCUGAGAGGGCGGACGGCCACAUUGGGACUGAGACACGGCCCAGACUCCUACGGGAGGCAGCAGUGGGGAAUAUUGCACAAUGGGGGAAACCCUGAUGCAAGCGACGCCGCGUGAGUGAAGAAGUAUUUCGGUAUGUAAAGCUCUAUCAGCAGGGAAGAUAAUGACGGUACCUGACUAAGAAGCCCCGGCUAAAUACGUGCCAGCCGCUGC
rnacentral:rRNA from 1 species